rnacentral:tRNA from 1 species
GGAGCUACAGCUUAGUGAUAGAGCCUCUGCUUUGCAUGUGGAAGGUCUCAGGUUCGAUCCUUGGCAUCUCCA